GAUGAACGCUGGCGGCGCGCUUAACACAUGCAAGUCGAACGAACCUUCGGGUUAGUGGCGGACGGGUGAGUAACGCGUGGGAAUCUGCCCUCAGGAGGGGGAUAACGGUUGGAAACGACCGCUAAUACCCCAUAUGCCGAGAGGUGAAAUGAAUUUCGCCUGAGGAUGAGCCCGCGUCUGAUUAGCUUGUUGGUGAGGUAAUGGCUCACCAAGGCAUCGAUCAGUAGCUGGUCUGAGAGGAUGAUCAGCCACACUGGGACUGAGACACGGCCCAGACUCCUACGGGAGGCAGCAGUGGGGAAUUUUCCGCAAUGGGCGAAAGCCUGACGGAGCAACGCCGCGUGAGGGACGAAGGCCUCUGGGCUGUAAACCUCUUUUCUCAAGGAAGAAGAUAUGACGGUACUUGAGGAAUAAGCCACGGCUAAUUCCGUGCCAGCAGCCGCGGUAAUACGGGAGUGGCAAGCGUUAUCCGGAAUUAUUGGGCGUAAAGCGUCCGCAGGCGGCUUUUCAAGUCUGCUGUUAAAACGUGGAGCUUAACUCCAUCAUGGCAGUGGAAACUGAUUGGCUUGAGUAUGGUAGGGGCAGAGGGAAUUCCCGGUGUAGCGGUGAAAUGCGUAGAUAUCGGGAAGAACACCAGUGGCGAAGGCGCUCUGCUGGGCCAUUACUGACGCUCAUGGACGAAAGCCAGGGGAGCGAAAGGGAUUAGAUACCCCUGUAGUCCUGGCCGUAAACGAUGAACACUAGGUGUCGGGGGAAUCGACCCCUUCGGUGUCGUAGCUAACGCGUUAAGUGUUCCGCCUGGGGAGUACGCACGCAAGUGUGAAACUCAAAGGAAUUGACGGGGGCCCGCACAAGCGGUGGAGUAUGUGGUUUAAUUCGAUGCAACGCGAAGAACCUUACCAGGGCUUGACAUCCUGCGAACCUUUAAGAAAUUAGAGGGUGCCUUCGGGAACGCAGUGACAGGUGGUGCAUGGCUGUCGUCAGCUCGUGUCGUGAGAUGUUGGGUUAAGUCCCGCAACGAGCGCAACCCACGUUUUUAGUUGCCAGCAUUUAGUUGGGCACUCUAGAAAGACCGCCGGUGAUAAACCGGAGGAAGGUGUGGAUGACGUCAAGUCAUCAUGCCCCUUACGUCCUGGGCUACACACGUACUACAAUGCUACGGACAGAGGGCAGCAAACUCGCGAGAGCUAGCAAAUCCCAUAAACCGUGGCUCAGUUCAGAUCGUAGGCUGCAACUCGCCUACGUGAAGUAGGAAUCGCUAGUAAUCGCAGGUCAGCAUACUGCGGUGAAUACGUUCCCGGGCCUUGUACUCACCGCCCGUC
rnacentral:rRNA from 1 species